rnacentral:misc_RNA from 1 species
CACUUUUACAAGGCAUUCAACAACCUGUAAACAGAACAUAAAUUAAAAAAAAAAAUUGUUUUCAUAGCGGAAGAGGGGGAAGUCACUAUGUUAUUAGUUUGUUGCGACUUUUGAGCACACAUUUGUAGAUGUCCACCCAAUGGUGCAAUCAGAUCACCUUAGGUGUUACUCCAUCCGUCUCACAAAGAUACAGUCAAAAUAAUAAAUUUUAUAGUCAAAAUAAUAAAUUUUUUCACAUGGAUUAAGAAAUGUAGUUAAUAUAGUCAAAAUAAUAAAUUUUUUCACAUGGAUUAAGAAAUGUAGUUAA